rnacentral:rRNA from 1 species
GACGAACGCUGGCGGCGUGCCUAAUACAUGCAAGUAGAACGCUGAAGAGAGGAGCUUGCUCUUCUUGGAUGAGUUGCGAACGGGUGAGUAACGCGUAGGUAACCUGCCUGGUAGCGGGGGAUAACUAUUGGAAACGAUAGCUAAUACCGCAUAAAAUGGAUUAUCGCAUGAUAAUCCAUUGAAAGGUGCAAAUGCAUCACUACCAGAUGGACCUGCGUUGUAUUAGCUAGUUGGUGGGGUAACGGCUCACCAAGGCGACGCUACAUAGCCGACCUGAGCGGGUGAUCGGCCACACUGGGACUGUGACACGGCCCAGACUCCUACGGGAGGCAGCAGUAGGGAAUCGUCGGCAAUGGACGGAAGUCUGACCGAGCAACGCCGCGUGAGGGAAGAAGGUUUUCGGAUCGUAAAGCUCUGUUGUAAGAGAAGAACGAGUGUGAGAGUGGAAAGUUCACACUGUGACGGUAUCUUACUAGAAAGGGACGGCUAACUACGUG